CAAGUGCUUAUACAGACUAUCUUAAAUUUAAUUCUCAUGUCGUAUGACUCUACUUAUUAUUAUGUAUACAAGGGGAUGACUCUAGAAUGUUCAAAGCUCUACCCUUUGAUCUUUCAACUACAUGUAACUUAAGUCCAUGUCCUUACAAGUUACAAGUCCACGACUUUUGGCUCGUCAAGUUUAUGUAACCUACAUCUUGUAUUCACAUAAAUAGGGAUGAACAUUGAGCUUGUAUAACACACAAGAGAAAAAUAUUACAACUUCACUACUCUUAUAUGCUAUCUGAACUAGUAUAGUAUAUUUGUUCUAACAUGCUAUCAGCACCAUAGUGUUAAUAUAAAAGUACACAUUGUAUUUGUUAUUGCAUGGAAAGAAAGCUAUCGUAAGGUUGUGACUUGGAAGCUCGUGACACUGUUCCUCUUCUAUUACGUCUAAAUGGUCAUGACGCUCUCUUUGUUAGCAAUCCAAGGUUAGCAUGUUUGGUGCAAUGAAAUAUAUUAUAUUGGUGUCUCUAUGAAAGCACAUACAAUGAGCAUAUAUACAGUAAAGUUUUAAACU